rnacentral:rRNA from 1 species
GCGGUGAAAUGCGUAGAUAUAUGGAAAGAACACCAGUGGCGAAGGCGGCUGUCUGGUCUGUAACUGACGCUGAGGCUCGAAAGCAUGGGUAGCGAACAGGAUUAGAUACCCUGGUAGUCCAUGCCGUAAACGAUGAUUACUAAGUGUUGGAGGGUUUCCGCCCUUCAGUGCUGCAGCUAACGCAUUAAGUAAUCCGCCUGGGGAGUACGACCGCAAGGUUGAAACUCAAAAGAAUUGACGGGGGCCCGCACAAGCGGUGGAGCAUGUGGUUUAAUUCGAAGCUACGCGAAGAACCUUACCAGGUCUUGACAUCUUCUGCCAACCUAAGAGAUUAGGCGUUCCCUUCGGGGACAGAAUGACAGGUGGUGCAUGGUUGUCGUCAGCUCGUGUCGUGAGAUGUUGGGUUAAGUCCCGCAACGAGCGCAACCCUUAUUACUAGUUGCCAGCAUUCAGUUGGGCACUCUAGUGAGACUGCCGGUGACAAACCGGAGGAAGGUGGGGACGACGUCAAAUCAUCAUGCCCCUUAUGACCUGGGCUACACACGUGCUACAAUGGAUGGUACAACGAGUCGCGAAACCGCGAGGUUUAGCUAAUCUCUUAAAACCAUUCUCAGUUCGGACUGUAGGCUGCAACUCGCCUACACGAAGUCGGAAUCGCUAGUAAUCGCGGAUCAGCAUGCCGCGGUGAAUACGUUCCCGGGCCUUGUACACACCGCCCGUCACACCAUGAGAGUUUGUAACACCCAAAGCCGGUGGGG